UAGUCUGAUGUGAAAGCCCACGGCUUAACCGUGGAAGGUCAUUGGAAACUGUUCAACUUGAAUACAGAAGAGGUAAGUGGAAUUCCAAGUGUAGCGGUGAAAUGCGUAGAUAUUUGGAGGAACACCAGUGGCGAAGGCGACUUACUGGUCUGUAAUUGACGCUGAGGCUCGAAAGCGUGGGUAGCAAACAGGAUUAGAUACCCUGGUAGUCCACGCCGUAAACGAUGAGUGCUAAGUGUUAGGGGGUUUCCGCCCCUUAGUGCUGGAGUUAACGCAUUAAGCACUCCGCCUGGGGAGUACGGCCGCAAGGCCGAAACUCAAAGGAAUUGACGGGGACCCGCACAAGCGGUGGAGCAUGUGGUUUAAUUCGACGCAACGCGAAGAACCUUACCAACUCUUGACAUCUUCUGAUCACCCUAGAGAUAGGGCUUUCCCUUCGGGGACAGAAUGACAGGUGGUGCAUGGUUGUCGUCAGCUCGUGUCGUGAGAUGUUGGGUUAAGUCCCAUAACGAGCGCAACCCUUAUUGUUAGUUGCCAGCAUUCAGUUGGGCACUCUAGCGAGACUGCCGGUGAUAAACCGGAGGAAGGUGGGGAUGACGUCAAAUCAUCAUGCCCCUUAUGAGUUGGGCUACACACGUGCUACAAUGGACGGUACAACGAGUAGCGAUCCCGCAAGGGUUAGCGAAUCUUAAUAAGCCGUUCUCAGUUCGGAUUGUUCUCUGCAACUCGAGAGCAUGAAGCCGGAAUCGCUAGUAAUCGCG
rnacentral:rRNA from 1 species